rnacentral:rRNA from 1 species
AUUGUAGUCUGCAACCCGACUACAUGAAGCUGGAAUCGCUAGUAAUCGCGGAUCAGAAUGCCGCGGUGAAUACGUUCCCGGGUCUUGUACACACCGCCCGUCACACCAUGGGAGUCGGAAGUGCCCGAAGUCUGUGACCCAACCUUAGGGAGGGAGCAGCCGAAGGCAGGUCGGAUGACUGGGGUGAAGUCGUAACAAGGUAGC